CUUGGAUCAUGAAGCCACGAGAUAUUGGAUCAGAGUGCCAAGUGGGCCAAUUUUGGUAAGCAGAACUGGCGCUGUGGGAUGAACCAAACGUGGAGUUAAGGCGCCUAAGUCGACGCUUAUGGGAUACCAUGAAAGGCGUUGGUUGCUUAAGACAGCAGGACGGUGGCCAUGGAAGUCGGAAUCCGCUAAGGAGUGUGUAACAACUCACCUGCCGAAGCAACUAGCCCUGAAAAUGGAUGGCGCUGAAGCGUCGCGCCUAUACUCCGCCGUCAGUGGCAAGUGGGAAGGCACGCGAGUCUCUCGAUCCUAAGCCCUAAGAGAAAUCCUAUGCAGAUGAGGUGUCCUAAGAUCAUACA
rnacentral:misc_RNA from 1 species